UGUGGGAGCGGGCUUGCUCGCGAUGCAGGCGACUCGGUAUGCCUGCAUCAUCGUGCCGCUGCCAUCGCGAGCAAGCCCGCUCCCACA
rnacentral:antisense_RNA from 1 species